UAGGGAAUCUUCCACAAUGGACGCAAGUCUGAUGGAGCAACGCCGCGUGAGUGAAGAAGGUCUUCGGAUCGUAAAACUCUGUUGUUAGAGAAGAACACGAGUGAGAGUAACUGUUCAUUCGAUGACGGUAUCUAACCAGCAAGUCACGGCUAACUACGUGCCAA
rnacentral:rRNA from 1 species